UUGAAAUGAUGAUGUCGAAGCUAUAUAUCCACAGGAACUGUAGACCUGCGAGGGACAUGGCGUGUGCUCACCUCGCAGAAGGAAGUUCGCCUUGAAGACAGCUUUCAACUAGCCUCUCUUUUAUGGGAGUUAGCAUGUAGCUCCACUCUAAGGGAAGAUGUUCCUGGGAAAUUGCUGUAUUGGGCUUGCACACGCAAAACUUAUGGGCCUGUACCUUCCACUUGCCUCUCACACAAGUUCGGUCUAGCCUCAAAGAUAGGCUCUUCCGACGUUAAGUGUACAGGCAAUAUGGAUGUGAGAGGUUCAGGCCAGAAGCUCAAGUCACUGAAGUAUGUAUACUUCAGAGGCAGGUAUAAGGUAACCUCUCAUUGAUUGGAGUAAGGAGCGACUCCAUUCUAAUUGAAGAUAUUACACAGAAAUCACCCUUUUGAACUAGGAUGCACAUGACUACAGGACCUGCCACUUCCAUAUGCAUUUCACACAACUUCUUCCAGAAUCCAACAUAAGAUUUCAGAAGCAAGAUCGACAGGCAUUUAGGUUGUAGGAGGGUCCGGCUAUGUUCUCAGCUCCGACAAAUAAGAAUGUGGUGAAACCUGCUUUCAGCCAGCUUCGUUGCUAACGUAAGAUUUUCAGAAGCUAGGUGGACAGGCUAGGUGAGGCUUCAGGGGGACAUUGGGCCGUGUUCAUGCUGACAGGAGUCCCGGUCUCCUCAGGAUCCGCGGUUAGGCAUCAGGAGGAUGUGGGGCCACGUCCACACAACAGGACACUGACUUCCUCAGGACCCCCGGUGUAGACUUUGGGAAAUAUGGGGAUGCGUCCAUGCGGACAGAAGACCCCAGCCUUGUCAGGGCUGUGGUGAGGCCUAAGAAAGAUGUGGGUGCCGCAUCCACACUGACAGGAGUCUCCGGCCUCCUCAGGACGCACUGUGAAGGUUUGGGAAGAUUUGGGGCCACAUCCAUGCUGACAGGAGCUCCCAGCCUCCUCAGGUCUUAUGGUCAGGCUUGAGGAAAAUGUGGGGCCACGUCAACACUGACAGGACCCCCGUCCUCCUCAGAACCUGCACUUUGGCUUCGGGACAUAUGGGGCUGCUUCUAUGCUGACAGGAGCCCACAGCCUCCUCAGGACCCGCAGUGAGUAUUCGGGAGAAUGUGGGGCCAUGUCCAGGCUGACAGGAGCCCCCGGCCUCCUGAGGACCUGCUGUGAGGCUUCCAGAGGAUGUGAGGCAUAGUCCACAGUGACAGGAGACCCAGAGUCCUCAGGACCCGCUGACUAUGACUCAGGAACACAUGGGGCCGCGUCCGCACUCACAGGAGCCCGGCUUCCUCAGGACCCCCUGGAGGACUCUGGAGGUGCCGUUGGGGGCCACGUCCACAUCAGAAGGGACUACUCAGAACCACAGGGGGCCUGGGAUGGAUGGACCUGUUCGAACCCUGAACUUAAAGAGGAAAGACCUUCAUUUUCUUGGCCUCCUUGCGUCCCCUCCCAUCCUAUCUAGCUCUUUCCCCCUUCCCCGGAGCUCCUGAGAGAGCAAUUGCAAAUGACCUCAACUUGGCAGGGUCUGUUGGGGGACAGGCCCAGGGAUUUGGGAUCAGGGAGACCUGGGGUGCGGGCAUACCGGCUGUGCAUCGGGAUUUGAUGCUGCAGACUCAUUCCCUAAGGCUAUCUUGACAACUGACUUUGUACAUAGAAAAACUCUCCUUUAUCUUUAAAAGAUGAAGAGCCAGUCAAAGCCUUUUUUCUCUGCCCAUCUGAUUGCUCAGAUUCCAAUGUGAGACGUAUUUCCUGUUAAUAAGGAUAAUUUACUAUCCGUAGUACUAUGGUUAAAAUAUUCUGACACAAUUAAUUCAGAGGGAUGAGGGUUUCUCACCUCUUUCUUCACAGCUCAGUCACUCCUCAGGAAAUGCAUCUUUAUGGAUUUGGAAAGAACUGAGAGACAUUAUUACCAAUGGUCCUAUUAUUAUGUGAAGGAUCCUUCCCUGAGAUUCUUCCCCUGUUUCAACUGACACUGACACACUUUGAACUCUUUGGAAGACAAAUGUCAAGGAAAUAAAUGUUAUGCAUUGCUAAUUUUAAA